AUGAAACAUUGGGACAAGAACUCCAUAAUUUGUAAGAUAAACAUCAUAAACCCAGAUUAUAUAAUCAAAUCAGGCCCAAUAGAAGCUACACCAAAAGAUAUAGAGGAAUUUAAGAUGCAUAUUGAAGAAUUGUUAAAAUUAAGAGCAAUCAGAGAGAGCAAAAGUCCUCACCAUUCAGCUGCAUUUAUGCUUAGAAAUCAUGCUGAAGAAGCUAGGGGUAAGUCUAGGAUGAAUGCACCUGCAUUAUUUCAAAGAAAAAUGCAGAACAUAUUCAAUGAGAAUCAAGCAUUCAUAUUGGUAUAUGUAGAUGAUUUGCUGGUCUUCUCAAAAUCAUAUAAAGAGCAUAUAGCUCAUCUUGAAGUCUUCUUUAGAAAGGUAGAACAAAAUGGACUCAUACUAUCUAAAAAGAAAAUGGAAAUUUGUAGAGAGAAAAUAAAUUUCCUUGGUCAUGAAAUAGGAGAAGGAAAAAUAUAUUUACAAGAACAUAUUGCAAAGAAAAUUUUGCAAUUCCCUGAUAACAUGAGUGAUAAAAAGAUAUUGCAACAAUUCUUAGGAAUUGUAAAUUAUGCAAGGAAUUAUAUAGAUAACCUAGCAAAGCUUGCUGGACCUUUAUAUGCUAAAUUAAGAAAGAAUGGUCAAAGAUAUUUUAACUCAGAAGAUAUAAAACUAGUAAGGACCAUUAAAGACAAGGUCAAUAAUUUGAAACCUUUAGAAUUACCAUUAGAAGACUAUUACUUUAUAAUUGAAACCGAUGCCUCUAAAGUAGGUUGGGGAGCUAUAUUAAAGCAAAAACCCAACAAAUAUUCUCCCAAAACUGGGGAGAAAAAUAUGUAG
rnacentral:rRNA from 1 species